rnacentral:tRNA from 49 species
GGCCGGGAUAGCUCAGUUGGUAGAGCAGAGGACUGAAAAUC